rnacentral:rRNA from 1 species
GAUGAACGCUGGCGGCGUGCUUAACACAUGCAAGUCGAACGAAGCGGUUAAAUGGAUUUCUUCGGAAUGAAGCUUGGCUGACUUAGUGGCAGACGGGUGAGUAACGCGUGGGUAACCUGCCUCAUACAGGGGGAUAACAGUUAGAAAUGGCUGCUAAUACCGCAUAUGCGCACAGUACCGCAUGGUACAAGGCGGAAAGAUUUAUCGGUAUGAGAUGGACCCGCGUUGGAUUAGCUGGUUGGCAGGGUAACGGCCUACCAAGGCGACGAUCCAUAGCCGGCCUGAGAGGGUGAACGGCCACAUUGGGACUGAGACACGGCCCAA